CAUAGUGUCUAGCUAAGCAUUACACAGCUCCUUACUUCAGCAUGGAGUUUUCACAACUCCCGUUCCUCAAACAGAACUCCUUGUUUUUACAAAAGACAAUGAACAAACAUUUAUUGUGUAUUACAUAUAUCACUAUGGAAAUUGCCAGGCCAACAGUAAGGCCAGAGUGUGGAUUUAUCCACACCUGCAAAAGCAUGCUUCAUUACCUGCAUUUUUGAAGCCACCUUGUAAAAGCAUAUCCCAUCACAGCAUAGCUUUGCUGAAAUCAUUCAAAAAUGCUUCUGGGACAAAUGUGUUCCACCUCUUCCUAUCCCAGUUGGCAUGGAUGUUGGUUAAAGUCUUUCUGUACAGAUGGAGUUUUUUGCUGGUAUACACUCACCAAAAAGCAUUUAGAAUAAACCUAGUUGUAGCACAUGCACCAGCAAAUGAUAAUUAAUCUUGUGGGAUAAUUGUGAUGGUAUAGUGCUAUGUCAAAAAAUAUAUCAGGGUAAGUAGCCUUCAAGAAUUUAUUACAUUCCCAACUAUCUAUAGUUGUGCUUGAAAAUGCUUCUCCUUGUGGUUAUGCUUGAGCUGAAUUUUUCUGGGAAGUUUAAUAAAAUUCCUUUGAACUGUUUUAGAGCUAGACAAGUAUAGAAAAAAAAAUUUCUAGGCACAUAGAAAUGUUCUUGCUUUUAUUCUAGUGAAGAAAAAAAAAAACACACGUUUUUCACAUGUUUAAGAAAGAAAAACACAGAUACAAAAGAAACAAACACAGUGUAGAUUUUUAAAGAUUGUUUUAAUGAGAUGUAAAUUACCUCACUGUACACAGCUGAAGUCCUUUGUUCUCCAGCCGAGAUUCACUUAAGGAAGCAGACAGUGUUUCUUUGUGGUUCCUCCCGAAGGGUGAAAAGUUUUACUCCCUUCUCAAGCCUCAGAAGCAGCUCUGCUGUCAUGAGCAUCACGCUCUUCAGUACUUCAUUUGCACAGCAGUCUCGACUGGAAAGUUUGCCAGCACAGCUACAGUGGAAGAGCUCGUAAAGCCUCCUAGACAGGAUCAAGUUUAGAUGACUACAAUAUAUUACUAUAUAUUGCUUAUAUCAAAACAGCAACGGAUGUUUUUCUUGAAAGUACAUUGACAGGAUUUUGCCAGCAAACGUAUUGAUUAUUGAAUGUUGUUUUAAUCCUGGUGUUGCCAAGUCAGCAAAACCUUUAAAUAUAAACCCUGCCUCCCAGCCCUGCCAGUCCGAUCACUCCUUGUCCAGGUCAUGCAGGACUCAUGCAGCUUCUCACACUUUUAUUCACGUUCAUAGUUGUACCUUGGUGACCUCUGACCAACUAACCAUAAGCUUUUUAUAACUGGAUUAUCUCCUCUUCAGAGCUAAGCACUCCAGUUACUCUGGAUGCAGAGAGUCUAGUUUUGUUUGUAAGGUCAAACGGUAGAAAACGUUGGAAAUGCAGACUCUGGAAAGCAUAACAAACUUUUGGCUUGCGCUUAUAGUGUCUGGUGGUGGACAGGACUCCACUGGAGAUGCAUGGUGAAGGAACCAUCUGCUAACAUUGCAGUACAGGAGGGCAGGCAGGCUGCAAACAGCAACAGGACAAGAUCAAAGGCUAACGACAGGGGAAAAACUGUUGAAUCCGCAUAUCCCUGCCUUUGUCAAUAUACACUAAAUGAAGUGGCAUAAAAACCCAACCUCUGAAACAUUUUGGACAACAUUAUCAAACCCAGUGCCUGGUAUGCAUACAUAACACCUGGCAUUGUGAUGGAUAACCACAUCUUUCUUUCUGCCAACUCCAGCUAGCUGGGCUACCUGUAAGAGCCUGACCAAAGCAGCUUCUAUGGUAAGCAACUGCCUGAGCAGAUGCUAAAGACUUUCUGAGUUCCCACAAAGGCUUGUGUAACCUUUCGAAACCCUGUGUUGUCACAGCUGGGUUGUUACCAGUACCCUAGUAGGACUGAAAUGGCAUCUUCUUGGGUCUUGGGAGAAUGAAGGACUCAAAACCCGGAUAUAUUUUACUUUGGCACAUCUGUGUCAUCUGCAGCUACCCAGGCAUGUAUUUAUUACUGUUCUGCACUACCUGUGACUGCCUGGGUGACAUUUUGCUGGGUGAGGUUCUGGGUUGCUACAGAAACUGUCUCUACAGAUCCAUUCAAUCAAGCAAGGCUCUAGUGACAAGACUCGUGCUUUCAGCAGGAACAUAAAUAAUUCACAUUUUUGCUGGCCUGCUCUCCUUGCCUUCCCUGCAAGCAGACUAAUGGCUCCAAGGAAAGCAGCUGUGACUAGCUGGAACACAGAGCUCAGAAUUAAAGGUGUAUUUACUAAGAUGCAUUUUCAAAAUGUUUUGACUCAGAGCCUAUUUUUUGUUUUUAGGAGAGGAGCAAGAUGAUCAACAGUUUUUUUUUUUUUUUUUUUUUUUUUUUUUUUUUUUUUUUUUUUUUUUUUUUCUGAAAGAUAACGGGAGAAGCUCUUCUUUGAACCAGAACUGUCCCUAUCACAUCACAUCACAUGCUUCCAGUUACCCUUUGCUGCAGCACCACAGCCAAGGAGGCAGCUGGUUUCCUGACUGAUAAAGCACAGUCACGUGCAGGCGAUCAGUCCAGUGUUUCAUCCACCUCCCCCCCCCCCCCAGCUCAGCUUCUGCUCUUCUGAUCUGGGAGUUCAGCUCUUCCUCCUGCAGCAACAACCUCCACUUUUGCAGCUGGUUUCAAUGAAUUUGGGAUAGAUGCCAAUGAACAUGGGAGAAUCUGCAGCAGUGUUUGGGCAAUCCAAGUUCUCGUCCACCUUUUGCAAUUCAGUCACCUGAGAACCUUGUGAGUAAAAUUCGUGUAGUGAAAUAGUAUUUAGGUUGUAUCUGUGUUUAAUGUGACUGUAGCUAGCUUGACAUCUGCUAAAAUCAUUGACCAACCUUUCUGUUAUGUUUCAGUGCAGUCUGAUAAUAAUCACACUCUAUGGUCUAUAAUAUGUAAUCUCUAUAUAAAAAAAAAAAAAAAAAGAAAAAAAAAAAAAAAGCUGUUAGAUAUCAUUUGUCAUCUUUUGUAGUCAGCUGCAUCUGUUGGAGGUUGUGGGUGCUGGGGGCUGCCACCCAAAUGUGCAGCCCCUCCUGCCUUCCCGUUCCUGAUCACACCUGCAUCUGGCUGUGGGAUCUUUUUUUUUUUUUUGGCAUUUCUGUGCAUUGCAUCAGCUUUCUAAAGGUUGUGAAGUUUUUUGUUUGUUUUUGUCUGCUUGUUUGUUUGGGGGAAUGUAUCUGCUUUUCCUAAGUCCCCUUUGCAAAAUAUUUUUAACCUGCCAGCUCUGUGAAGCAAACUAUACAGAGCUUGAAAUGCUCUGGAUUUCUCUUUCUGGUCUCCCCUCCAAACAUCAGCAGCCUAUGGAUCCACGUCAGUGUAAAGACCUGUUCCAGCCACUGGGAUCAAUGCGUGUGCUAUUUCUGGCACCAAAAGCAGUGGCAGGGUAUGAGGAAUGAUAGAUGCUUGCUGUGAUCCAUUUUAUUUUCUUGAUCCUUUGAGAAAAAACAACUGCCUCCCCAUCUCCUUCUCAUCCUGUAGUAGUGCCACUGAUCAUUCAUGCCUGAGUGUCCGACUUUGAACUGGUCCCUACUGAGUUUCAUUCUUCAAAGCAUUGCUCCAAGUGUUGAGAGUAUAGUGAAUUCAAACCAUCCUCCAUGAUACUCACAGUCUUUGCAGUUUUGCACUAUCAGCAAUUUUUGUACAUGCGUUUUCUAUUCCGUCAUCCAUACUUUUAGUGAAAACAUUAAACAAACCCAUAGGUAGGCUAGACCCCUGUAGCCACUUCUCUGUCUUGACAAGGAAUGAAGCCACGUUGUACUGACCCUGUAGGUAUUUUAGCUAGAUUAUGUGAAUGCAUCAUGAGACAAAUAUUUUACUGAAGUCCAGAUAUCUGAUAUCUAUUUCUUUUUGCUUAUUUAUGAAUCUUCUAAGUCAUUCAUAGAAAGAAUUUUGAUUGUUAUUUUUACCUGAUACAAUUUCAUGGUAGUUGCUAUUCCUCUUCUUGUUAUUUUCCAAAUGCUCAGAAACAACCUUUUAUAUACUCCAAACUGAAGAUGACUGGCCUUUAACUUAUUACUUGCCAGGACCAAAUCCAUCAGAUUUAACUCCUCAUUGAUGGUAUUAUACACUUGCCUUACAUUAACCCACUAGAAAAACUGGAAGUCAUUUACAUAAUGAACACACAGCCAGCGCAACCACGUGCUCUCCGUGAAGAGCAUCUGACUAGCAGAGAAGCAUCUGAUCUUUGCCCAACACUUUAAAAUCCCUUGGGGAAAAAUAAAUAAAUAAAUAAAUAUAGACCCGAAAACAAAGAGCAGUUCCUUUAUUUGUGUAUAGAAGGUAGAAGCAGACCCAAGAAAGACCCCUGCAGGUAGAUAACUCUGUUCUGCCAGUGAAUCACUGAUAAAUAUCUUCUGAGAACAGUUAUACAACAGUCUAGCACCAACCUUAAAGACAUUUCAACUGCUUUGCUUACGGGAAUGUUGUGUGAGAGAAAAGCCGUAAUGAAUUGGCCAUCUUUAGUGCUUUUUUUCCUCUCCAAAUGUCUUCUUACCCAAACAAGGCUUUUGAUUGUUUUGAUUUUUUUUUUCAGAUAAAUUUUUGUUGCCAAUUUCUAAUCACUUUGACGCUACUGUAAAAAAAAAUUAAAAAGGAUAAAGAAAUUAAAAUGUCUGCAGAAAUUUGGAAAAUAUUUAAAUGUAUAUGUAUGUGUAUUUUUCCUAAGUAAAAACAAAGUUUAAGAUUAUCUUUAAUUUAACAGAAGAACACUAUCUACCAGAAAGUGCAAGGUUUGGCAGUGAGAUGCAAAGCAGUUUUCCCUGAAGUCAGCAGAUAAGAUGGGUGGUGUUUGUUUUUUGUGGCUCCUCAGAUUAGAAGGAAGCUCUGUGAAUUUGAUGUUGCACCUCAGGGUGUUUUUCUGGGAAAAAAAGUUGUGAUUCUUGGCUAAAAAUCCCUACUAAUUUGCCUAUAUGCUGGGAAGUGUCAGUUAUAGGGAUCCUACUUACACUGUUCGACCAACACUAGCUUUACAUUGUUGGUGUAUGGAACCACAGAAACAUUCAGGUUGGAAAAGACCUUCAAGAUCACCAAGUCCAGCUGUCAGCCUGACCUACAAAGUCCCAUCCCUAAGCUGUGUCCCUCAGGGCCACAUCCACGCGUCUCUUGAAAUACCUCCAGGGACAGAAACUCCAUGGCUUCCCUGGGCAGCCCAACGUUUGACCACCCUCUCAGUGAAAAAAUUCAUCCUGAAAUCCAGGCUGAACCCCCCCCCCAGUGCAACUUGAGACCACGCACAGUGUUGCAAAAGUUUCCAGCACCUCUCCUGGGAAAAUCUGCCCUCGGGAUGUAGUAGAUGUACUUACUCAACACAGCUGUGUGCCAGCAGCAUCAACACUCAUGGGACCCUGAGCAGAGCCAUAACAGACACACUCUCUUUUCCCACUCCUAUACUGGGUGGCUUGUGCUGCUGUUCAUCUCCCUACCAACAGUUCUUGUCCCUCCCUGGUUUUCAGUCUAGACAAAAAAUAAAAAAGCGUGGGCUACAAAACAA